rnacentral:lncRNA from 1 species
ACAAUAAUGACACUCAUUCAAAAUGAUAAUUUUAGAAUUGAAAAUAAGCUUAAUAAUUUCUAAAGCUAAGACUAAAACUUAGCUUCCAUCUCCCACGUUCAGGAAUCUCUCACCAUCUUCAAACCUCCUAUUGAUCCGAAAUCCCCACAAUGAAUUGCAAAUAUUAAUAAGACUUUUAGUAUCCAAUACCCAGAUAGUAGUAUCACAAAUAGACAACUUAUAAGGUGUUUUCAUAUAAUUAUCUUGACUAGUAACUGCUAGCUGCUUUCUCUUAUUAGGCCUGUUUGGGUCAAGAGAGGCAAAAUACUGAGGAUAAUUUCUCUUUCAAUGAUCCAACUUCUUGCAGAAAAAGCACUCUAUCUAACUCUGAUCUGCUUUGGGCUUCUUGAUAUGAUUGGGCUUAGAUGCCCCAGCAUGCUACACCUUCUUCUUAUUCUUCUUUUUUUCUUUCUUAAAGGGAUGAUGUCCAGAAAAGGAACCACCUACCACAUUCAUCGACUCCUUGUGGAGCUGGUGAUCCUUCUCAAAGGUCUAUAGUAAUCCUAGCAAUUCAUGAUAGUUUACUGUAGAUUUAGUCAUUCUGUAAUGACUAAGAAAGGAUAGAUAGGACUUGGACAAAGAAUUUAAGAUCCCAUCUUUUCCUAGCUGCUCAUACAAGAAAAAUCUGAGUUUGCUCAGGCGCUCGAUCUGCUCAAUCAUUUCAGCACAUGAUCAGUGACCGACACCCCUUCCCUCAUUCGAGCAUCGAAGACAGCACAAGACAUUUUGUGCCUUUCAACAUCAUCAGGAAUGCCGAAGGACUCGUUCAACACUUGAAGUAUUUCCUCCGACUGAGCAUCCUCAAAUUUGCGACUGAACUCAUCAUUCAUAGCCACCCACAUGAUGCAAUGCACAGUGAUUCGAUCAUUGAGAUACUUUUGAUAAGUAUCUCUAACCGCACCACGAGCAUUUGGAGUGGACUCCUCAGGUGUCCGAUCUGUAAGUACUUACAAGAUCCACUCGUGCUCCAGAAC